rnacentral:rRNA from 1 species
AGAGUUUGAUCCUGGCUCAGGAUGAACGCUGGCGGUAUGCUUAACACAUGCAAGUCGUACGAGAGUUUUUAACUCUAGUGGCGAACGGGUGAGUAAUACGUGAGAAUCUGCCCUUAGGAGGAGAAUAACUGCUGGAAACGGCAGCUAAGUCUCCAUAUGCCGAGAGGUGAAAUAGUUUACACUGCCUAAGGAUGAGCUCGCGCCUGAUUAGCUUGUUGGUGAGGUAACGGCUUACCAAGGCCACGAUCAGUAGCUGGUUUGAGAGAACGAUCAGCCACACUGGGACUGAGACACGGCCCAGACUCCUCCGGGAGGCAGCAGUGAGGAAUUUUCCGCAAUGGGCGAAAGCCUGACGGAGCAAUACCGCGUGAGGGAUGAAGGAUUUUGGUCUGUAAACCUCUUUUCUCAAGAAAGAAGUUCUGACGGUACUUGAGGAAUAAGCAUCGGCUAACUCCGUGCCAGCAGCCGCGGUAAUACGGGGGAUGCAAGCGUUAUCCGGAAUCAUUGGGCGUAAAGCGCCUGUAGGUCGUUUAAUAAGUCCGUUGUUAAAGACUAGGGCUUAACCCUAGGAAAGCGAUGGAAACUGAUAGACUUGAGUAUGGCAGGGGUAGAGGGAAUUUCUAGUGUAGCGGUGAAAUGCGUAGAUAUUAGAAAGAACACCAGUGGCGAAAGCGCUCUACUGGACCAUUACUGACACUGAGAGGCGAAAGCUAGGGGAGCGAAAGGGAUUAGAUACCCCUGUAGUCCUAGCCGUAAACGAUGGAUACUAGAUGUUGUGUUAUAUCACAGUAUCGCAGCUAACGCGUUAAGUAUCCCGCCUGGGGAGUACGCUCGCAAGGGUGAAACUCAAAGGAAUUGACGGGGGCCCGCACAAGCGGUGGAGCAUGU